rnacentral:lncRNA from 1 species
GGCACUUAACAACUCUUUUAUUCUUUAAUAAUAACGCCGUGUGCUAGCUUUUGUGGCGUCUUUGUUUGUGAGCUUGAACAUACAGUGUGUUUAAGUGUUGACACUCCGAAAAACACCCGAAGCAAAAAAACUCUUAUUUUUCAGUUCCUCACAUCCCAAGCCUUUAUAAAUAAGUUUUAGGGUUGUUUUGGGGUACACAAGGAACGUGUUUCGCUUGAUCAUUUACUAGCAUUUUGGGGUGAACAUUUUGUUUUCAGGUAUCUCUUUAUCUAUAUAUGCUUUGUUCUUGUGUAAUAUUGUAAUUAUGUAUAAUUGCUGAUCCUUUGUUUUCAUUGCACCUUGGUUGAUUUCUUCUAUCUUUUGGUUUGUAUACUGAGAUGUAGAUUAAUAACAAAGGCACAUGGUGCAUGCUUGGUCCUUGAGUUGGUAUUUGAUCGUUAAUUGGUUUGAUUUUAGUGGGAUUUAACUCUCUUUAUUUGAAUGUUCGUGCAAGCAUUAGGAUUUGGUAGUAGCAUGUAUAUUGUAUAUUUUUUUUUAUCUCGUGGGAAACUGACACAUGCAUGUAUAUUUUAUAUUUUCAAAUACACUCUUUAUUUUGGACUGAAAUUUAUUAAAAAAAAUAAUUAGAGUGUCAUGUCUUUAAUUUUUUAACCAAAGGGUGUCAUUUCUUAUUUAUCCAGUUUUACUCAUGAUUUUAUAAAUUUGAUUUAAUAGUAGAGAGAGUAUUACAAUGAUUAAUUAAUUGUGAUAUUGGAUCAGCUGGUUUGGUAUACCUUAAUCUCGUUUUUCAUUAUGUUUUUCCUUCUUUCGAGUAUUCCCUUUCGAGUCUUUUAAAAAUGUUUUUUUGAAAUAAAAAUAUGUAUUCUCAUCGAUCAAUCACAAGACUUUUUUUAAAAAUUUUUUUUAAUUUUAUAAUAAUUAUUAAAAUUCAUAUGUAACAUUUUUUUAUUAAUUGAUGAAGUACAGUGCUGAAAAAUAAACUUUUGUCAAUAUCAUAUCUAUAUUUGAGCCACUUGGUGUUUUCGCCUUUUCGGUGCCUAAUGUGAACAUGACAUUUAAGGGAUGCCAUAUUUUUGAAUUGUUUAUUAUUAUUAUUAUUAUUAUAAUAACUUUCGUAAGGCACCUAAAGAGUGAAAUACUGAAAUUUGUUCAUGGACUUGUAUAAGGAAAAAAAUUAAGAAAAUAAAAUAAAUUAGGCUUUUUUUUAUAUAUUUUUUCCUACAUGUCUCUUUCCUUGAAAGUAACUCUAUACUAAGUCGAUAUUAAAUUUGGACACCUUUUCUAAUAGAAAUUCGAAUCUUGAUUUAUCAUAUUGUUUUUUUCCAUUAGAUCCGAUCCGUUGGUUUUUUUUCUUUCUUUUCUUUAUAAGCAUUUACAGAGAAGUUUAUGAAAAAUUACCAUAAUUUUCUAAUAAAGUUUAGGAUAAGAAAAUCAAACAUGAUUGUGACAAGGUUCUACUAUAUUUUUACCUCUAUUUGGUACAGUAGUAAUGGUUAUGGAGGUCCAUGCCUAUUACCUACUGAACUUUUCUGUAUGCCAAUAAAACCGGUUGUUGCUUCGAUAUUUAUAGGCACUAGACAAAGGGUAGCGGUGCAGUUUUCAACUUUCCGUGCUACUCGAUACUGAUAAUAUUCUUGACUUAGUAAUUUCUAAGCGGGAUUCAGUGGAGAGAAACAAUUUUCUCCUCAGUGGAACAAGAAUCAACAUCAACAUUUGUAUCUCCAUCAUCUAGUUUUGGAUAAUAUUAAAUAUUACGCAAAAUAUUUUCAUAUGCUUUGUUGCACCCGACAAAAGUAAAAGGAGUUCAUUCUGUGGGAAAGGCGCACUCUUCAACUCAAUUUUAUAUUAUUUCAUAGUUUUUUUU